rnacentral:lncRNA from 1 species
GGCUUCUUCCCAGAGUCUUUUUCUUCAGCCACCCAGAUCAAGGUUGGUUUCUUCCAUCUUCUCUCUCAAAGCUAGAAGCCAGAAGUAUUCAAAGGAGCCAAGGAACCCAGAAAAACUAUGGAGACUCUCUAAGAGACUGAAGUUAUCUUCUCUACCUCACUGGUCCACUUCUCUCUGCCCCUCAUUGAAGUAUAGAUCUCUACCAAAAAAAAGAUGGAAUAAGCAGAGUUUAAUAGGAAAAGCAUUUCCUGGGAGAAUUAAGAGAUCCAUGUUCAAGCACCAGUCAUGCCACAGACUCAGGUGACUGAAUCUUGGAAUACAAGAAUCUCCAAAGGAUCAGUCAUCAGUGAAUCAAAG